AGGAUAUCUGAUUUGAAGGGACCAACUAUGACAUUUCCUAAUCUGAAGAAUUUGAAACUUUUGCUAAGACUGGAAUUGAGGAAUUGCUUAAUAACUGGUCCCAUUCCAAACUACAUUGGAGAAAUAGAAAGUUUGAAAAGCAUAGAUCUGAGCUCCAACAUGUUAACAGGUUCAAUCCCAGAUU